UACGUAGGGGGCUAGCGUUGUCCGGAUUUAUUGGGCGUAAAGAGCGUGUAGGCGGCCAGAUAGGUCUGCUGUGAAAACUCGAGGCUCAACCUCGAGAUGUCGGCGGAAACCAUCUGGCUAGAGUCCGGAAGAGGAGAAUGGAAUUCCCGGUGUAGCGGUGAAAUGCGCAGAUAUCGGGAAGAACACCCGUGGCGAAGGCGGUUCUCUGGGACGGUACUGACGCUGAGACGCGAAAGCGUGGGGAGCGAACAGG
rnacentral:rRNA from 1 species